rnacentral:rRNA from 1 species
UACGUAGGGUGCGAGCGUUGUCCGGAAUUAUUGGGCGUAAAGGGCUCGUAGGCGGUCUGUCACGUCGGGAGUGAAAACACGGGGCUUAACCCCGUGCCUGCUUCCGAUACGGGCAGACUAGAGGUAUGCAGGGGAGAACGGAAUUCCUGGCGUAGCGGUGAAAUGCGCAGAUAUCAGGAGGAACACCGGUGGCGAAGGCGGUUCUCUGGGCAUUACCUGACGCUGAGGAGCGAAAGUGUGGAGAGCGAACAGG